CAACACAGGGAAACUUGUGCUAAUACCGGAUAAGCCCUUACGGGGAAAGAUUUAUCGCCGAAAGAUCGGCCCGCGUCUGAUUAGCUAGUUGGUGAGGUAACGGCUCACCAAGGCGACGAUCAGUAGCUGGUCUGAGAGGAUGAUCAGCCACAUUGGGACUGAGACACGGCCCAAACUCCUACGGGAGGCAGCAGUGGGGAAUAUUGGACAAUGGGCGCAAGCCUGAUCCAGCCAUGCCGCGUGAGUGAUGAAGGCCCUAGGGUUGUAAAGCUCUUUUGUGCGGGAAGAUAAUGACGGUACCGCAAGAAUAAGCCCCGGCUAACUUCGUGCCAGCAGCCGCGGUAAUACGAAGGGGGCUAGCGUUGCUCGGAAUCACUGGGCGUAAAGGGUGCGUAGGCGGGUCUUUAAGUCAGGGGUGAAAUCCUGGAGCUCAACUCCAGAACUGCCUUUGAUACUGAAGAUCUUGAGUUCGGGAGAGGUGAGUGGAACUGCGAGUGUAGAGGUGAAAUUCGUAGAUAUUCGCAAGAACACCAGUGGCGAAGGCGGCUCACUGGCCCGAUACUGACGCUGAGGCACGAAAGCGUGGGGAGCAAACAGGAUUAGAUACCCUGGUAGUCCACGCCGUAAAC
rnacentral:rRNA from 1 species